rnacentral:rRNA from 1 species
CAGCCGCCGCGGUAAUACGAAGGGUGCAAGCGUUAAUCGGAAUUACUGGGCGUAAAGCGUGCGUAGGUGGUGGUUUAAGUCCGUUGUGAAAGCCCUGGGCUCAACCUGGGAAUUGCAGUGGAUACUGGGUCACUAGAGUGUGGUAGAGGAUAGUGGAAUUUCCGGUGUAGCAGUGAAAUGCGUAGAGAUCGGAAGGAACAUCUGUGGCGAAGGCGACUAUCUGGGCCAACACUGACACUGAGGCACGAAAGCGUGGGGAGCAAACAGGAUUAGAGACCCCCGUAGUCCCUGUCUCUUAUAC